rnacentral:rRNA from 1 species
AAGUUCCCUUCGGGGGAUGAGUACAGCGGCGAACGGGUGAGUAACACGUAGGUAACCUACCCUGGGGACUGGGAUAACCUGCCGAAAGGCGGGCUAAUACCAGAUAAGACCACGAGGGCCAUGGCCCUUGGGGCAAAAGAUGGCCUCUGCUUGCAUGCUAUCACUCCGGGAUGGGCCUGCGCGCCAUUAGCUAAUUGGUGAGGUAACGGCUCACCAAGGCAGAGAUGGCUAGCUGGUCUGAGAGGAUGGCCAGCCACACUGGGACUGAGACACGGCCCAGACUCCUACGGGAGGCAGCAGUGGGGAAUAUUGCGCAAUGGGCGAAAGCCUGACGCAGCGACGCCGCGUGGGUGAUGAAGGCCUUCGGG